ACAAUGAGGAUGCGACGGGAGUGACUCUGCCCGGCUAAAAAUAUCCUCCCCACCACCGCCGCCAGCGCGGCCUCAAGGUCACCACCCGCCUGGUGGGGCCGGGGGGGCGCGGGGGUGUGGGGCGGGGAAGCCCCCGGCCCCCCCUCGUGCUGCCGCUCCCUCCCAGAGGCGCCCGCGGCUCCGGCACAGAGCAGCCCCCGCGCCCCCUCCUCGUCCCCGCGUCCUCGUCCCCAUCCUGCGGGGCUGUGGCAGGUGAGCGGGGGGUGGGGGGGGGCUCAAGCUGCUUUUGCUCGCGGAGCUUGGGGGGGGGGACCCCGGGGAUGGGCUCCCCCCCCGCCGUGGCCCCGCGCCCGCCGGAGCAUCCCCGUGUCCCCCCGGGGGACGCGGGGACGGCGCGGUGCGCCGGGUGGGGGAGGGGGCUGCAGGUGGCAAUAGGCUGGCUGUGUCCCAGCUGGGGGCCCCUCUGGGAUGCGCUCGUCCCCUUCUCGCUGUCCCCAUCGUGGGGACGAGGAGGGAUCCCCACAGCCCCCUGGGGAGGGAGGGGGCAGCAGGGCUGGGUGAAGCCAUUGCGGCUCAGUGCAGCCUCUGCUGCAGCGCUCAGGCCCAGCGUGUGGCCCCCCCGUCCCAGCACAUACUCCCCCCCCAGUUCCUGCAGGCUGUGCCCAGGACCCCCAUGCAUGCCAAUAUCACAUGGGGACCCCCUCCCCAUCCUCUCCUGCCCCCCAGGACACCUGGUCUGAAGGCCGUGUUAUCUCCGUGCUCCCAUAGGGCCAGCCCCCCUCCUCUUGCUGUAGGGCCAAGGUGGGUCCCAGCCCCCAGCGCUGCCCCCCGGGUGGGGGGUUCACCCCACUGUCACUGCAGCACUGGGGGUCCGCAGCCACAAGGCGCUGCUGCUGGCUCUGGGGGACGUGCAGAGCCACCGCUCAAGGACAUCCACCACUGUCACCUGCGGCCAAACCAGGGGACCGCGGUGUCCCCGUCCCCAUCCCCACGCUACGGCCGUGCAGGGCAGGGAUGUGCUCAGCACCCGCAUCCCUCAGCAUCCCCAUAGGGUGCACUGCUGUGGGGACAGGGACACGGACACGGACAGGGCCAUCCCGCUCCGGGGUCCGGCAUUCAGUCGGCCCCAGCAUCUCCCCAAAGGACGGAUCCCUGUGUCUGACAGGGAGGAUUGAACGAGGCCUCUUUGCGCUGCCGGCAACGUGAGCCCUGAGCGACACGACCGCGGCGUGCGAUGGGUCCUGAAAUAUUGCCCAGGAUCCAUCCGGGAGGGCCCUGACCCCAGUGAGGAGCCCCCCG
rnacentral:lncRNA from 1 species